GUACCCACCUUAGCAGCACAUAUACUAUUAAUAACAUUGGAAAAAUACAGAGAAGGUUAGCAUGGCCCCUGUGUGAGGAUGACAUGCAAAUUUGUAAAAGCAUUGCAUAUUUUU
ensembl:snRNA U6 U6 spliceosomal RNA